AUCUCAUGCAGCAUAGCUUUGUAGGUCCAAAGGAGAAAAGAGCUAACACCUACAGCAGCUGCAGAUAGGGUUACGGCGAGGAAGAGAUCAUGUGUUUGGGCGAGUGAUAUCCAUGCCAUGCAUUUCUCAAGUGAACAGUCCUCGUGGUAUCAACCUUGUGUUCGUUGUCUGUUCGACCUUGAACACGAAGUUACAGCUGAGGUUGGGAGGUCUCUUCUCUUAGGAGAUAAGCGAAGAUGAGGUUUAAAUGAAGGACUGCACACUUGACAAGGCUUUGGCAUGGAUAAAGCAGCCACUGGUGAUUCAUUCUAACCACUGAGACCCUUCCACAAAGAAGGUCAAAUAUAAUAUUCUAUGGAGAAAACUAGAAGCAUUUCAUUUCCC